rnacentral:rRNA from 1 species
UACGGGGGGGGCAAGCGUUGUUCGGAAUUACUGGGCGUAAAGGGCUCGUAGGCGGCCAACUAAGUCCGACGUGAAAUCCCCAGGCUUAACCUGGGAACUGCGUCGGAUACUGGAUGGCUUGAAUCCGGGAGAGGGAUGCGGAACUCCAGGUGUAGCGGUGAAAUGCGUAGAUAUCGGGAGGAACACCAGUGGCGAAGGCGACUUCCUGGCCUGUUCUUGACGCUGAGGCGCGAAAGCUAGGGGAGCAAACGGG